UACGGGGGGGGCAAGCGUUGUUCGGAAUUACUGGGCGUAAAGGGCUUGUAGGUGGCCAACUAAGUCAGACGUGAAAUCCCUGGGCUCAACCCAGGAACUGCGUCCAAGACUGGGAGGCUUGAAUCCGGGAGAGGGAUGCGGAAUUCCAGGUGUAGCGGUGAAAUGCGUAGAUAUCUGGAGGAACACCGGUGGCGAAGGCGGCAUCCUGGACCGGUAUUGACACUGAGGUGCGAAAGCGUGGGGAGCAAACAGG
rnacentral:rRNA from 1 species